rnacentral:rRNA from 1 species
GGAGGGGGACAGUGGUUAUUCGAGCACGCGAGAACCUUACCUGGUCUUGACAUGCCGGACUUUCCAGAGAUGGAUUGUUGCCUUCUGGAACUCGAACACAGGUGCUGCAUGGUUGUCUUCAGCUCGUGUCGUGAGAUGUUGGGUUAAGUCCCGCAACGAGCGCAACCCUUGUCCUUAGUUGCCAGCAUGUAAUGGGGGGAACUCUAAAGAGAGCCCCCGUGACAAACCAGAAGAGGGUGGGGGUGAUGUCAUCUCAUCAUGGCUCUUACUGCCGGGUCUACACACGUUCUACUAUGGUGGGGACAGAGGGGUGCAAUCCGGCGACGGUGACCCAAUCCCAAAAACCCUAUCUCAGUCCAGAGUGGGCUCUGCAACUCCACUCCGUGAAGUCAGAAUCUCUAGUAAUCGCAUAUCAGCGUUGCGGGGGAUAAAUACUUCCCGGGCCUUUACACCCCCCCCCACACCACCAUGGGAUGUUGCUCCCCCAGAAGCGGGAGGGCUCAACCUUGAGGGAGGCGCCUAACACGGGGUGGAUGACUGCGGGGGAGAAAUCCAAAGGGGACCAAAAAAAA